UAUGUAGGUGCAAGCGUUGUCCGGAAUUAUUGGGCGUAAAGAGCUCGUAGGCGGUUUGUCGCGUCGAAUGUGAAAACCCGGGGCUCAACCCCGGGCCUGCAUUCGAUACGGGCAGACUAGAGUUCGGUAGGGGAGUCUGGAAUUCCUGGUGUAGCGGUGAAAUGCGCAGAUAUCAGGAGGAACACCGGUGGCGAAGGCGGGACUCUGGGCCGAUACUGACGCUGAGGAGCGAAAGCGUGGGAGCAAACAGG
rnacentral:rRNA from 1 species